UGCAGAGGGACCUGGACAGGUUGGGAGAGUGGGCAGAGAAAUGGCAGAUGGAAUACAGCAUAGCAAAGUGUGGAGUCAUGCACUUUGGGAGUAGGAGUAAAGGCAUACAUUAUUUUCUAAAUUGGGAAACAAUCUAGAAUUUGGAGGU